rnacentral:lncRNA from 1 species
GUAAAACCCCUAUAAGAACAGGUAUAUUAUGUGGAUGCUAAAUUUAGAGAAGUAAAAGAUGGGUGGAUACACAAAUGAAAACCACAUACUUUGAAUUCAAACCUGCCAUGAUUUUUACUAAUUACCAUUGUGGUCUCCUGGCAUGACUUUUUCCUUUUUGUUUUCUCCUCCUGGUGGUAGGGCAUGAUAGAGCUUUCCAUAACAUGGUGUUCCAGACGAUUAAAGUCAGAUGUUGCUACUUACAACUUGGUUUUUAACUGUAGAGCUAGAGUCCCAGUUUAAGAUAGUAGAACAAAAUUUUUCCAUAUAGCAACUGAGGUGAGGACUAAUGAGGGGCAAAUUAUGUAGAAAGGUUUGAAAUUCUGUAAUAUCAAAAUGACCCCUAAAAUAGCUGUAAAGGUCAGAUCUGGUAAAUUUGUGUAUUAUUUUCUUGGCAUUUUACUGCGGAUUAUCACUGUAGUUUGGGAAAAAAUUGUUAAGUGAUAAUGAUUUAAAAAAUUGUUUUUACUUUUUUCUUCCCAUGUUAGUUUCUGUGUUGUUUGUGUCUUCUGGGCUUCACCUAUGGAUCUCAUGGGAGAAAAGGAUACAUUGUAAUGUCAGUAUUGUGACUUAGAAAACACAUUAGCAAUAAAACUUUUAGGUGGUAGGAUAAA